AAUUCCAUAGCUAUUUGAUACUUAUAGCUACUAGAACUCAACUUUUGCAUUUUAUGCAAUUUGGUCUUUUCCAUCUAAUUAAACAUGUAAUCAGUAUAAUUUUCUUAACAAAAUUUUCAUACGUCAUUCCUAUCAUAAUGUAGACCAUACAAUAACAUUAAAAUAAUUUUCCUUCAGGACUCUGAUUUGUGGUCACGAAAUCACUAUUCCGGUUUUACUAAAACAGGCUGUUACAUUUUUAUUUUGGUAAAUCAUGCGAUUUUGCAGUUUAACGUUAAAAUACCAAAAUCCAGCAAACAACAUAAAAACCAAAGAGCAAAGCCCAAAACAAAUUUACAGUCCAAAAAUAUUUAAAUCACAAACCAACUUAUAUAUUUAACCAAUAAACAAUCGAUGUCCAUUCCUAAGUCUGUAGUUCACCUGAAACGUAUAAAACAAACGAGUGAGCUAGAAGCCCAAUGUGUGUCUCGACCUACAAAAUGAAAUUUCCUUAUAACAUACACAAAUGUAAAUACCAACAAAGAAUUUUACUUAUAAUGUUCACAUAUACGAAUAUCAUAUCAGAAGACAUAAUACUAGGAACAUAUAUGAAAUUGGAAUAUCAUAUUUCUAGAACAUAUAUCAUAUCAAAAAUGUCAUAUCAUAUCAAAUCAAAUUUUACCCCAUCUGCUACACACCAACUUCGUCCAACCAAUCACACCAAUAGGACUACAUGAGUCCAUCCAUCCAACCACACUAGGUCGUGGUGGUAUGCCACUCAUAAAGGUGCAACUAAGCUACCGAAUAUAUAUUGCGGUUUAACCGCCAAAAUUGUAGUAAUACUGCUUGAAAGCACUUUCUCCAUCAUCAAAAACCACCCCAAUGCUCAUGCAAAAUCAUAAUAACAUACAUACAUAUCACAUAGUCGAAUCAAAUAUCAUACCAUAACAUAAAGCGAAAUACGAAUGUCACACAUGCUUUACAAAAAUAGUCAUGCUCUCAAAAAUUACCAACACAUAUAUUAUACAUGUAACUCACAUACCAAAUGUAUCAACACAUAUACUUCAUUUCAGGUCUUUUUUAAGCAAAAUGGACCCCAUGGGGGUUUAAUUACAAAUUAAAAACUUAAAAUGACCCUAAAUGAAAAUUUCAAAAAAAUAGGCUCUACGGGCGUAUGAAAUCACAUGGCCCAAAUGACCAGCCCAUGUGUCCCAUACGAACUACCUAUCUUACCUGUGUGAUUUCACACGCCCGUAUGUCCCACACGGCCUACCUAAUUUUUCCGUGUAAUCACACACGGUCGUGUGACGUAGAACAAUUUAAAUUUUUCUCGGGUUUUUCCCAGAUUUUCCAAAUUGUUCGUGGUGAUUUCGAGUUAGAAACACACACUUGAAUUGGAUAUGAUGUAGGCUCAAGAUUGAAAGCACCAAAACCUAAAAACAACAACUCAUACAAAUUAAUAACAUGAUUUUCACCACACUCGACUGAAUAAUAUCAUGCAACCUUCAUCAAUUAAACCCAAUUUUCAAAACGGAACAACCUUAACAACGUCUAGAACACUUACUCUCAGACGAAAUAGCAACUUAACGACGCCUAAGUAGCUGGAGGAACACCAACUGUUCCUUGAUAUUCUCCUAGAAGCACACCGAUAUCGUUAAAUUCAAGAACUCAAUAUAAAAAUCACUUAUCUCCAAAGAAAACCCAACAUCUAACAUCACCAAAUAAUAAUAAUAAACAAACCAUUCUCUUACCCGAUUGAAAUUGGAAUAGCUAAGGGAUUCAUUCUAUGCCGACACAAGAGUUAAACAAACAAAAGAAGAAAAAAAAAUUGAGAACAAAGAAAAUAUUUGGAAAUAG
rnacentral:lncRNA from 1 species